rnacentral:rRNA from 1 species
UACAGAGGUCUCAAGCGUUGUUCGGAUUCAUUGGGCGUAAAGGGUGCGUAGGUGGCGCUGUAAGUCGGGUGUGAAAUUUCGGAGCUUAACUCCGAAACUGCAUUCGAUACUGCGGUGCUUGAGGACUGGAGAGGAGACUGGAAUUCAUGGUGUAGCAGUGAAAUGCGUAGAUAUCCGGAGGAACACCGGUGGCGAAGGCGGCUUCCUGGACCGACACUGACGCUGAGGCGCGAAAGCUAGGGGAGCAAACGGG